GAUGUCUGCAAUUGACAAGUCCAUUUCGAAUGGGGACACAGCACCUGAAAUUCAGAUUUUGACACUAAUUGAGAUGUUUAUAAGACAAGCAAUCAAAUUAAAAAGCAUUUCUAGAGAAGAUGUUUCUGCACAAGAAAGUGUUUAGGAAAAGAAAGUGCAGAAAUGUGUUGAAACAUUGGAUGCACUUAAGAUAUCUAAUGCAAGAAUAAAGCAUGUUGUUGUUACAACCAACUGGGAGACCUUUGAUCAUCCUCCUUCGUCGACUAUGGGAAAUAUUUGAUUGACUUUGCUUCUC